rnacentral:tRNA from 1 species
ACACCUAAAAGAUUUCAGCUAAUCCUGACCAUUUUGAGCCAAUUCAAGCCCACCCAACCAUCAAAUCAA